rnacentral:lncRNA from 1 species
ACUUGGCGGGGUCUUUGUCUCUCGAUCCCGCCAGAGUUUGGGAUCGGUUUCCUCUGUUCCGCGUGCUCUACCUCGGAACCUCCCACCCCCGCCCGGCGACUUUGUCACAGCCUUUGUUGCUCUGUGAUCUGCAGGUCCUGGGAGAAGCACAGCUAAGAUGCCAGGGCAUCCUGGAAGCUGGGAAGUGUUCAGAUGCAUAAUCUCAUCCCUGAACAUUCUGCUGGUGCGAUUAUGACAUAUGACUUUACCCAGCACCAGGGUGAUUUGAUGCUCCUACCUGGGCCCAACUCACAGAAGGGAUUGUGACAUAUCACUGGACCCAGCACUGAGGGGACAUUGUGUAAUAUCGCUGGGCCUCACACAUACGUUACGUGACUCUCCUGCCUGUGCCCUGUCCAUGUGGGCCGUCGUGACGUAUUGCUGGGUCCAACACCCGGUUGAUGUAACUCUACUGCCUAGGUCCUGCCUAAGGAGGACAUUGUGAUGUAUCCCUGAACCCAUCACACAGAUUCUGCCCUCAGAGGAUAUUGUGACAUGUCACUGGGCCUAAUACUAAGAUGACAUCAUUGUUUAGUUUUAGC